UCUUACCUACGGGGGGCAGCAGUAGGGAAUCUUCCACAAUGGGCGCAAGCCUGAUGGAGCAACACCGCGUGAGUGAAGAAGGGUUUCGGCUCGUAAAGCUCUGUUGUUGGAGAAGAACGUGCGUGAGAGUAACUGCUCACGCAGUGACGGUAUCCAACCAGAAAGCCACGGCUAACUACGUGCCAGCAGCCGCGGGAAUACGUAGGUGGCAAGCGUUAUCCGGAUUUAUUGGGCGUAAAGAGAACGCAGGCGGUCUUUUAAGUCUGAUUUGAAAGCCUUCGGCUUAAACGGGGU
rnacentral:rRNA from 1 species